rnacentral:lncRNA from 1 species
CCGUAGAAGACUAUGGUGGAAGGGGUGCCUGUAUGAAUCAAAAAGAAAAAUCACAAAAAGAAAGAAUUUAUUUUUGUGUAAAACCCUAGAUCCAAAAUGGUUUAGGAUCUAACCUUAAUUGAGAAAGUGUUUUCAUAUUUAGAUCUAAUUUUUGAUAAAAAUAUGUGAUAUAUUUGAUCAUGUUUAGAUCAGAUUUUAUGCUUAUGUAUGAAAUACAUAGAUUGUUAGUUUAGAUUUGAAAGUAGUUUCAACAUCUUAACUACCUCAUAUUCAUAAUGC